ACGAGAACGGAUUAUAGCUUGCUAUAAUUGUCAGCUAAGUGGCGCACGGGUGAGUAAUGUAUAGGUAAUAUGCCUCUUACUAAGGGAUAACAAAUGGAAACGUUUGCUAAUACCUUAUACUCCUUAUUAACAGAAGUUAAUAAGGGAAAGAUUUAUUGGUAAGAGAUUAGCCUGUAUUGUAUCAGUUAGUUGGUGGGGUAAUGGCUUACCAAGACUAUGACACAUAACUGGUUUGAGAGGAUGAUCAGUCACACUGGAACUGAGACACGGUCCAGACUCCUACGGGAGGCAGCAGUGGGGAAUAUUGCANCAUGGACGAAAGUCUGAUGCAGCAACGCCGCGUGGAGGAUGACACAUUUCGGUGCGUAAACUCCUUUUAUAUGAGAAGAUAAUGACGGUAUUAUAUGAAUAAGCACCGGCUAACUCCGUGCCAGCAGCCGCGGUAAUACGGGGGGUGCAAGCGUUACUCGGAAUCACUGGGCGUAAAGAGCAUGUAGGCGGAUUAAUAAGUUUGAAGUGAAAUCCUAUAGCUUAACUAUAGAACUGCUUUGAAAACUGUUAAUCUAGAAUGUGGGAGAGGUAGAUGGAAUUUCUGGUGUAGGGGUAAAAUCCGUAGAGAUCAGAAGGAAUACCGAUUGCGAAGGCGAUCUACUGGAACAUUAUUGACGCUGAGAUGCGAAAGCGU
rnacentral:rRNA from 1 species